UGAGGAAUAUUGGUCAAUGGGCGAGAGCCUGAACCAGCCAAGUAGCGUGCAGGAUGACGGCCCUAUGGGUUGUAAACUGCUUUUAUGCGGGGAUAAAGUGUGCGACGUGUCGUGCAUUGCAGGUACCGCAUGAAUAAGGACCGGCUAAUUCCGUGCCAGCAGCCGCGGUAAUACGGAAGGUCCGGGCGUUAUCCGGAUUUAUUGGGUUUAAAGGGAGCGUAGGCCGCCAGAUAAGCGUGUUGUGAAAUGUACCGGCUCAACCGGUGAAUUGCAGCGCGAACUGUUUGGCUUGAGUGCACGGUAAGCAGGCGGAAUUCAUGGUGUAGCGGUGAAAUGCUUAGAUAUCAUGAGGAACUCGGAUUGCGAAGGCAGCUUGCUGCAGUGCGACUGACGCUGAUGCUCGAAGGUGCGGGUAUCAAACAGG
rnacentral:rRNA from 1 species